rnacentral:lncRNA from 1 species
AUCGGAUGGUUGAUCAAUGAUUAAGAAUCGUUCUAGGGUUAAACGAUCAAUAUGAUUGACAUUUAACCUAGUGCAAGUGUUGUAAGAGGAUCGAUUAGCAAUUUGAUUACUAAUUGGCUUAAUUUGAUUAAGCCAAUAGGCUGAGAUUAAGUUUAAUUGAAUAUAAUUUAAUUAGAUUUAGUUUGGACUUGAUUGGAUCAAGUUCAAUUGGUUUAUU